UGUAAAGUUUGAAUAAGGAAUAAAGUUGGCUGGAAGACCUUCAUUUUUUCAAAAGAAACCUAAAAAUGAAAUAUUUAUAACUAGAGGGAUAUAGGAACACAAUUAUAAUUUAAAGUGUGAGUCACAACACUGUCUUGUUCAACCAGGGAACAAAAUGACUUAGAGGCAGAAUAAAAUUACUUCAUUUAUGUGUCUUAAGAACAUGACAUUCUUUCAGUCUGCUCAUGUCCUUGGGUUAAAUGGCAGAGUGUCUGUUCUGUUCCCCGAGGUGAUCAGUGGCUUUAUUACUGGUCAUUCGUCUGGGGUGACUUUUCCAAGAAUUAAUAAUGAUAACAUUAACAGCUCACUGCCAAGCACUGCGCUUUACUUAUGUCAUCUCACUUAAUCAUGUUGCCUUGUCGGGUAAGUAUCAUUGUCCCCAUUUGAUAGAUAAGGAAACUGAGGCUUGGAGAAGCUUGACCACUUACCCAAACCCACUCAGUUACUAACUGUCAGAGCUGAGGUUUGAAACAGUGCCCUUGAUCUGGAGCCCAGCUCUCAGUCACUUGCCCUACCCUCCCGAAUGCGAUGGGCUUGGGUAGUCCCCUCACUUUCUUUUGAAAGACUAUGUAACUACCUCCUCUAGCAAAUUUCACUCUGCUAUGUUUGGUCAUGGUCACCGUCAGUAGAGAGGGAUUAACUUGCAUACUAAGGUUUUGACUUUUUUGCAGCAUCUGGGCAUUUAUAUAUAUAUAUAUACACAUACACACACAUAUAUACACACAUAUAUAUAUGGAGUGCAGUGGUGUGAUCUUGGCUCACUGCACUCGAGUGUGUGUGUGUGUAUGUAAAAAGAUACAUACCUAUGUAUGUACAAAAAUACUUAUAUAUGUAUAUAUUUAAAAUACAUAUACAUGUAUAUAUAAAAAAUUGUGUGUGUGUGUACAUAUAUAUAUUUUUUGAAAUGGAGUCUUGCUCUGUUGCCCAGGCUGGAGUACAAUGGUGCAAUCUUGGCUUACUGCAACCUCCAUCUCCUGAGUCAAACAAUUCUCCUGCCUCAGCCCCCUCAGUAGCUGGGAUUACAGGACCACCAUUAAAAUGUUGA
rnacentral:lncRNA from 1 species